CCUCCUUUCUUGGCAUACUCGUUGUUUACUCGUACACGUGUGUGUAUGUGAUGGAGGAACAUUAAAGUCCAGUGCUAUGUCUUCGGUGCCAGGAGUUCUGCCAUCCCCUGGUUCUAUCCUCAAUCGCUGGCACAGUC